rnacentral:rRNA from 1 species
UAGGGUUUGAUCAUGGCUCAGGAUGAACGCUAGCGGCAGGCCUAAUACAUGCAAGUCGAACGGUGUCUUCGGACAUAGUGGCGCACGGGUGCGUAACACGUAUGCAACCUACCUUACAUUGGGGGAUAGCCUUUCGAAAGGGAGAUUAAUACCGCAUAAGACAGUAGUCUGGCAUCAGACAGCUGUUAAAGAUUUAUCGAUGUAAGCUGGGCAUGCGUCCAAUUAGUUAGUUGGCGGGGUAACGGCUCACCAAGACUAUGAUUGGUAGGGGAACUGAGAGGUCAAUCCCCCACACUGGCACUGAGAUACGGGCCAGACUCCUACGGGAGGCAGCAGUAGGGAAUAUUGGGCAAUGGACGCAAGUCUGACCCAGCCAUGCCGCGUGCAGGAAGAAGGCGUUAUGCGUUGUAAACUGCUUUUAUACAGGAAGAAACGACUCUUGCGAGAGGCAUUGACGGUACUGUAUGAAUAAGCACCGGCUAACUCCGUGCCAGCCGCCGCGGUAAUAC